rnacentral:rRNA from 1 species
CGAACGGGUGAGUAAUGCGUGACCAACCUGCCCCAUGCUCCAGAAUAGCUCUUGGAAACGGGUGGUAAUGCUGGAUGCUCCAACUUGACGCAUGUCUUGUUGGGAAAGUGUUUAGUGGCAUGGGAUGGGGUUGCGUCCUAUCAGCUUGUAGGCGGGGUAAUGGCCCACCUAGGCUUCGACGGGUAGCCGGCCUGAGAGGGCGGACGGCCACAUUGGGACUGAGAUACGGCCCAGACUCCUACGGGAGGCAGCAGCG